AAGGAGCGGUGGACUGAUUACGAGUGAGAAUGUUGGCAUUAGUAGCGAGAUGUAGGUGAGAAUCCUACAGGCCGAAUAUCUAAGGUUUCCUCAGGAAGGCUCGUCCGCUGAGGGUUAGUCGGGACCUAAGCCGAGGCCGAAAGGCGUAGGCGAUGGACAACAGGUUGAUAUUCCUGUACCACUACCAUCGUUAUUAUCGAGGGUGUGACGGAGAAGGAUAGUGUGUGCUAGCGAUUGGAAAUGCUAGUCUAAGCGUUUAGGGAGUUACGGUAGGCAAAUCCGCUGUAACGUUAAUUCUGAGGCGUGAUGGGGAAGGUCAUUAAGACCGAAGUACAUGAUUCCAUGCUUCCAAGAAAAGCAUCUAGAGAGAGAAGUAGUGCCCGUACCGCAAACCGACACAGGUAGAUGAGGAGAGAAUCCUAAGGCCGGCGGAAGAAUUGCAGUUAAGGAACUAGGCAAAUUGACCCCGUAAGUUAGCGAGAAGGGGUGCCUGCGAGAGCAGGCCGCAGAGAAUAGGCCCAAGCAACUGUUUAGCAAAAACACAGGUCUCUGCUAAAGCGCAAGCUGAUGUAUAGGGGCUGACGCCUGCCCGGUGCUGGAAGGUUAAGGGGAACACUUAGCGCAAGCGAAGGUGUGAACUUAAGCCCCAGUAAACGGCGGCCGUAACUAUAACGGUCCUAAGGUAGCGAAAUUCCUUGUCAGGUAAGUUCUGACCCGCACGAAUGGCGUAAUGACUUGGGCACUGUCUCAACUGCAAAUCCGGCGAAGUUGUAGUGCGAGUGAAGAUGCUCGCUACCCGCGAUUGGACGGAAAGACCCCGUAGAGCUUUACUGUAGCUUAGCAUUGAAUUCCGGUAUUGUCUGUACAGGAUAGGUGGGAGACUGGGAAACUAGGGCGUCAGCCUUAGUGGAGUCGUCCUUGGGAUACCACCCUGACAGUACUGGGGUUCUAACAGGACGCCAUGAAUCUGGUGACUGGACAUUGUUAGGUGGGCAGUUUGACUGGGGCGGUCGCCUCCUAAAAAGUAACGGAGGCGCCCAAAGGUUCCCUCAGAACGGUCGGAAAUCGUUCGUAGAGUGCAAAGGCAGAAGGGAGCCUGACUGCGAGACCUACAAGUCGAGCAGGGACGAAAGUCGGGCU
rnacentral:rRNA from 1 species